GGAGGCGUACCCAAGAGGCUGAAGGGGGCUGACUCGAAAUCAGCUAGGGCGUCAAUCGGCGUCGCGGGGGUUCAAAUCCUCUCGCCUCCGCCA
rnacentral:tRNA from 1 species